CCUACGGGUGGCAGCAGUGGGGAAUAUUGCGCAAUGGGCGAAAGCCUGACGCAGCGACGCCGCGUGAGGGAUGAAGGUCUUCGGAUCGUAAACCUCUGUCAGCAGGGAAGAACGGUCACUGUGCUAAUCAGCAGUGAAUUGACGGUACCUGCAAAGGAAGCACCGGCUAACUCCGUGCCAGCAGCCGCGGUAAUACGGAGGGUGCGAGCGUUAAUCGGAAUUACUGGGCGUAAAGCGCUCGUAGGCGGUAUGUCAAGUCAAGGGUGAAAUCCCCGGGCUCAACGUGGGAACUGCCUUUGAAACUGGCAAACUGGAGUGUGUGAGAGGGUAGUGGAAGUCCAGGUGUGGGAGUGAAAUCCGUAGAUAUCUGGAGGAACAUCAGUGGCGAAGGCGACUAUCUGGAACAUAACUGACGCUGAGGAGCGAAAGCGUGGGUAGCAAACAGGAUUAGAUACCCUUGUAGUC
rnacentral:rRNA from 1 species